rnacentral:rRNA from 1 species
UAGGGAAUCUUCGGCAAUGGGGGGAACCCUGACCGAGCAACGCCGCGUGAGUGAAGAAGGUUUUCGGAUCGUAAAGCUCUGUUGUUAAGGAAGAACGAGUGUGAGAAUGGAAAGUUCAUGCUGUGACGGUACUUAACCAGAAAGGGACGGCUAACUACGUGCCAGCAGCCGCGGUAAUACGUAGGUCCCGAGCGUUGUCCGGAUUUAUUGGGCGUAAAGCGAGCGCAGGCGGUUAGAAAAGUCUGAAGUGAAAGGCAGUGGCUCAACCAUUGUAGGCUUUGGAAACUGUUUAACUUGAGUGCAGAAGGGGAGAGUGGAAUUCCAUGUGUAGCGAUGAGAUGCGUAGAUAUAUGGAGGAACACCGGUGGCGAAAGCGGCUCUCUGGUCUGUAACUGACGCUGAGGCUCGAAAGCGUGGGGAGCGAACAGG